rnacentral:rRNA from 1 species
UACGUAGGGUGCGAGCGUUGUCCGGAAUUAUUGGGCGUAAAGGGCUCGUAGGCGGUUUGUCGCGUCGGGGGUGAAAUCCACUGGCUUAACUGGUGGCUUGCUUUCGAUACGGGCAGACUGGAGGUAUGCAGGGGAGAACGGAAUUCCUGGUGUAGCGGUGAAAUGCGCAGAUAUCAGGAGGAACACCGGUGGCGAGGGCGGUUCUCUGGGCAUGUCCUGACGCUGAGGAGCGAAAGUGUGGGGAGCGAACAGG